rnacentral:rRNA from 1 species
GACGAACGCUGGCGGCGUGCUUGACACAUGCAGGUCGAACGGUAAGGCCCUUCGGGGUACACGAGUGGCGAACGGGUGAGUAACACGUGGGUGAUCUGCCAUGCACUUCGGGAUAAGCCUGGGAAACUGGGUCUAAUACCGGAUAGGACUCCUGGCUUCAUGGUUGGGGGUGGAAAGCUUUUGCGGUGUGGGAUGGGCCCGCGGCCUAUCAGCUUGUUGGUGGGGUAAUGGCCUACCAAGGCGACGACGGGUAGCCGGCCUGAUAGGGUGACCGGUCACACUGGGACUGAGAUACGGCCCAGACUCCUACGGGAGGAAGCAGUGGGGAAUAUUGCACAAUGGGCGCAAGCCUGAUGCAGCGACGCCGCGUGAGGGAUGACGGCCUUCGGGUUGUAAACCUCUUUCAGCUAUGACGAAGCGCAAGUGACGGUAGUAGCAGAAGAAGGACCGGCCAACUACGUGCCAGCCGCCGCGGUAA